AUCCUCAAUCUGCUGAGUCGCAUCCAUCUUCCCCUCCAGCUAAAAGUUCAGCAGGUUCCCGCCUCCUCCUUGCCCGACCUUUAUCUGUUACUGUGGUGCCGAAUCCCGGGAGGGAGGAGGAAUGUGUUGUCGCGGAGUCCUCACUGCUGCUAUCCGCCUGGGGAGCAGCCACGGCCAUCUGCCUGGGAACGGAGGGGUUGCUGCUGGCCGGCGAGAGCCUGAGGAACCGCUGCCGUCCGCAGAGAUGGGGAGGAGCAGUUCCGUCCGCCAGGGGUCGGAGGGCUCGUUGCAUCUGCCAGGGGAGGAGCGAGCUGUCGUCCGCCAGAGGUGGGAAGAGUGGUUGAGGACCGGGCGACAGCGUGUCCAGGGACAGGCGAGUGAGACCCUUUCCCUCUCCUCAUGCCUCCCCUCGUCACUCCCCCAGGUUCCCAGGAGGCGGGGAGGACCACAGACUGACAGAACGGCCGGAAGUGCAGCGUCUCCCCUCCAGAGAAGUCAGUCCGGUGGCACCCCAGCCUGAAUCGGGCAGGGGAGGAGUGUGACGAGGAGGAGGGCGUGGCCGGGCUGUGAGGGUGCAAGGCCGGCGCUGAAUCAGAUGAUCAGCAGGAGAGCGAGAUAAAGGGGGGCCGGAGAUGCCAGUUUGGGAGAGAGAGAGAGUUAUGUUGAGUUUUACCAUUAAACUUUACGUUGACUGUUCAGCCGGUUCCCACCUCCUCCUUGCCCAGCCUUUAAUUGGCGAUGGACAGCAGCUGUUAGAUCCAUUAAGUCCACACACACCAUUAACUCCCUGACCUCAGCUGAGAAGCAGACACUGAAGAACUAGAAUUUGAAAGGCAUGUCAGAGUCUUAUAAAGGAAGAUUUAACCCAGUUACUGAUGGAACAGAAGACAUGCGACAUCUCAUGGGCAAUCUUUAAAAAAAUUUGCAUCUUUAAUGGGGUCAUUGGAUGUGAACUACAGUAUGUUCUUUUUGUCGGCUUUAAUCCCUUUGUUGAUGUGGUACUGUGUCAGAUUUAAUUAAUUAAGGGAAUAUUUAAAUGUAAUAAAACGGGCAAAACUGUAUCUUUUGUUUGAAUAAUUGCAUACAGUAAAAAGGGGCCAAUUUGAAAGCAAAUUAAACAGUGACUUAAUACAUAGGAACACUAACACAAGGUGAUUUAACUGAUUAAAAGACUUAACGACACAAUAAUAGGCUACUUUAAUGAUUUAAACGAUUUUUCUUUGUCGUUCUCCGUCGCCCCACCCUUCCAGUCCUCCGCUUGAUUAGUCCAUCACAGCGCUCCAUAUAUGCACAUCGUCAAAAGAGUUUAAUACAAUAAUAAAUGCAGAAAAUACUUGAAAAAUAAUAAUAAACAAAUAAUUCUACACGAUAAUAUCGCUAUUACUGUAUGUGAUAUUCAAAUCAGUGCCACGUGUCAUAGCUCGCGCGCUGGUCACUGAUGGUCCUGACAGCUGUUUAAAGGGCUCGUGACAGUGAUAACUGGUGGGCACGGUAAUAAUUAUUGUGCGCGCGGCUGCUCAGAUCAAACCCGCCACACCCGGUGCAUCGCAAAGAAUGGGAGAAAGAAAGACGACAAACCCCCCUCUACUCCGUCAAUCACUUCACCCAUCGUACUCUGAUUUAUAGACAACGAGAUUUCUGAGAAUGCGGAAUUUGAGCGUCAUUCAUUCAAAGACAGAGCAAUUGUUCUAUUUAGUAAAUAGAACAGGAGAUUUCCCGAAUUUAGGUCGUGAAAAAAGGAGCUCAGAUGAGGCAUGCAAAAUGAGAACAAGGUUACAGUAGACUAAUUAAAAAGAUUUCAAUAAAUAUAGAAUAAAUGGCUAUAAAAAUGUUAUUAAACUGUCCAACAUGUUGCUAUCAUGUAAUAAAUUAUUAAUUGUGCAGGUCUAAAUACAUCUUAAAGAGUGUGCUGUGUAAUAUUAUUAAUACUAAUUUGUCGAGAAAUUCUGCACAAAAUUAAGACUAAAUCAUUAUAUUUUAGAUUUUGUAAAAGUAAAAGCCUAUCUUAAGUAUUGUCAAAGCACUGGCAUCCUCUAUAUAUAGGGGCUUCAUUGUUGCAUUGUGAGACCCUUCUAUAGUUCUUUUAUACUUAUGCCAAAUCCAAAUCACUCGCUUUAUACUC